rnacentral:rRNA from 1 species
GUAGGGAAUAUUGGGCAAUGGGCGCAAGCCUGACCCAGCCAUGCCGCGUGCAGGAUGAAGGCGCUCAGCGUUGUAAACUGCUUUUAUCUGGGAAGAACGGCAGGCCUGCGGGCUUGUGUGACGGUACCAGAGGAAUCAGCACCGGCUAACUCCGUGCCAGCAGCCGCGGUAAUACGGAGGGUGCAAGCGUUGUCCGGAUUUAUUGGGUUUAAAGGGUGCGUAGGUGGUUUCUUAAGUCUGGUUUGAAAGCGGGCGGCUCAACCGUCCGAUGUGGCUGGAAACUGGGGAACUUGAAUGGGUUGGCGGCUGCCGGAACGGGUCAUGUAGCGGUGAAAUGCAUAGAUAUGACCCAGAACACCGAUUGCGAAGGCAGGCAGCUAGGACCCGAUUGACACUGAGGCACGAGAGCAUGGGUAGCCAACAGG